UACGAAGGGGGCUAGCGUUGCUCGGAAUCACUGGGCGUAAAGCGCACGUAGGCGGAUUGUUAAGUCAGGGGUGAAAUCCUGGAGCUCAACUCCAGAACUGCCUUUGAUACUGGCGAUCUCGAGUCCGGGAGAGGUGAGUGGAACUGCGAGUGUAGAGGUGAAAUUCGUAGAUAUUCGCAAGAACACCAGUGGCGAAGGCGGACU
rnacentral:rRNA from 1 species